rnacentral:lncRNA from 1 species
UCUGUUGCCACUUGGUUAAGAAAUCAGAAACAAGGAGCAGGAGAAAAAGCAAGACCCUGCAGCUGGAGUGGCUAGACACAGAACUGCCCUCCUCGGAAGUAUCAAAGGACCCAGCUCCUGGGGACGGCCCCCAAGGCUGCAGAAUUUAUUUUCUGGGUUCCAGCGUUCUUCCGUCACCUUCCACACCCUCCUCUGUCAUGGCCCACAGAGCCACAAGAGCUCCUUCAGACUGGUGUUUGGAGAGAAUGGCUUAUGGAUAUCAUCUUUAACUUUGCUAAAUGCAAGUCCAUUUUGUCUUGGGCAAAACAGACCUUUCUGCCUGUUGAGGAACAACUCAGCUGUCACAUUCCCAUCUUUUUUUCCACCAUAAGGGCAACUCUUAUAGAGAGAACAUAAAGCAUUAUUCUGAGAAGGGUCCACAGGCUUCAACAGAUGCCAACGGGGUUCACGACACACAAAAAAAAUGGGAAUUGUUAGGACAUUCAUCCAAAAGCCAUUUGUUAAGCACCGGUUGGAUGUGUGGACAAGGGAGAUAGAUGACUCUCAAAUUUCUGGCCUGAGUGUCGAAGUGGAGAAUUCUACUUUUCAGCAAGAAACAGAAUGUGUGUGAGGAGCGAGGGGAGAUCAAGCUUGUGAGGGAAGGAAAUUGUUGAGCUUUGAACUUGGGUUUUUUGGAAACCUCCACCUUUCCACAAUUUUCCCAUGAAAGUUUCAAAACAUUUCUAAAAGCACAUACCACUAAUCUUAAGCUCACCGUGAUCAGAAGGGCAGCCUUGCAGGAUGCCAAAUUAGUCAAGAAGAGGAGAAAGCCAAAGGGGCACCAGAGGAAAUGGAGCAGCUGAGGGAG